GUGGGGAAUAUUGGACAAUGGGCGCAAGCCUGAUCCAGCCAUACCGCGUGGGUGAAGAAGGCCUUCGGGUUGUAAAGCCCUUUUGUUGGGAAAGAAAUCCUGUCGGUUAAUACCUGGCGGGGAUGACGGUACCCAAAGAAUAAGCACCGGCUAACUUCGUGCCAGCAGCCGCGGUAAUACGAAGGGUGCAAGCGUUACUCGGAAUUACUGGGCGUAAAGCGUGCGUAGGUGGUGGUUUAAGUCCGUUGUGAAAGCCCUGGGCUCAACCUGGGAAUUGCAGUUGAUACUGGAUCACUAGAGUGUGGUAGAGGGAUGCGGAAUUUCUGGUGUAGCAGUGAAAUGCGUAGAGAUCAGAAGGAACAUCCGUGGCGAAGGCGGCAUCCUGGGCCAACACUGACACUGAGGCACGAAAGCGUGGGGAGCAAACAGGAUUAGAAACCCUGGUAGUCC
rnacentral:rRNA from 1 species